ACAGGGGGUUACAAUUUUAGCGUUGUGAACUGAGAAGAAAGACGACUACACACUUAACUCUCUCUCGUUCUCUAUCUGGUAAGAACACACUGUAACAGUGUGUUCUAAAUGUGUGAUGUGUGAUGUGUGAUGGCUUAUUCUGUAUACUCAUUGCCAUUGCGUACCGGUGAGUAUUAACAAACCGAGUAAAAGAUACCAAAAAUAAUUUUCGGCGGUGAAGAAAUAAAUCGGGGAAGCAGUAACCAAACUGGUACGCUACCACCGCGGCAUCACAACGCACAAGGCAGAGUGUUUAAGUCAGUCGAUGGUGUCGGCCAGACUGUUUGUUGUCUUCUAAGGAGGAUUUACCACCUUACAACUAAGUUUUUUAGUGGAUACACCGGAUUUUAUAUCGUCUGCCGAAAGGUGAACCAAAAAAAAGGAUUCGAGCGAGCGAUUAUUGAUUACUAUGUCACUAGUACCUCAUACAAGUGUAUUUUUUUGCAUCACCGGAGCAAAAGAAUAACCACCGAGAACAAAAUAUAAUUAAAAUUACAUGAACCUGAAGUCUAUCGUAAACACACGUGGGCAGGACAAAGAGAUCGGGCGAGCGUAAUCCGAGCUGUUGUUUACGAUAAUAAAGAAAAAAGUAAAAAGGGGGAAUGAAGGAUAAAAAAUAUAAAAACAGCGUACCGGUCGAUUUGUCUCGAUCGAGGGCAGACUUCUUGUCUGACGUAGAAAUUGGCAUCGUCGUUCUUAGCUAGGCGUUCACUGAUAGAAGGAUUUAAUACAGAGUACCAAACUG